rnacentral:rRNA from 1 species
UGCUAUACAUGCAAGUCGAGCGAACAGAUAAGGAGCUUGCUCCUUUGACGUUAGCGGCGGACGGGUGAGUAACACGUGGGUAACCUACCUAUAAGACUGGGAUAACUUCGGGAAACCGGAGCUAAUACCGGAUAACAUUUGGAACCGCAUGGUUCUAAAGUGAAAGAUGGUUUUGCUAUCACUUAUAGAUGGACCCGCGCCGUAUUAGCUAGUUGGUAAGGUAACGGCUUACCAAGGCGACGAUACGUAGCCGACCUGAGAGGGUGAUCGGCCACACUGGAACUGAGACACGGUCCAGACUCCUACGGGAGGCAGCAGUAGGGAAUCUUCCGCAAUGGGCGAAAGCCUGACGGAGCAACGCCGCGUGAGUGAUGAAGGGUUUCGGCUCGUAAAACUCUGUUAUUAGGGAAGAACAAACGUGUAAGUAACUGUGCACCUCUUGGCGGUACCUAAACAGAAAGCCACCGCUAACUACGUGCCAGCAGCCGCGGU